rnacentral:lncRNA from 1 species
AUAUAUAUAUAUAGCUCUUUCAUGUCAACAUGACAGGGGAAGUCCUAUCUGGUGGAGAGACUUCCGAUCGCUUCAACAUCUCCAAUGGCAUGAAACAAGGCUGUGUCCUCGCUCUGGUACUAUUCAACCUAUUUUUCACCCAAGUAUUACGACAUGCUGUGAUGGAUCUAGACCUGGGCAUCUACAUCAAAUACUGACUGGAUGGCUCACUAUUCGACCUUCGCCACCUGACUGCAAAAACAAAGACAACAGAGAGACUCAUCUGGAAGCUCUCUUUGCAGAUGACUGGGCUCUCAUGGCCCACCAAGAAAAUCAUCUCCAAACCAUUGUGGACAGGUUCUCCACCGCAACAAAACUGUUUGGCCUGACUAUCAGCCUCAGCAAAACAGAGGUGCUGUUCCAACCUGCACCAGGGAGGCCAACGAACCAGCCGUGCAUUACAAUCGACAGCACGCAGCUUUCCAACGUCAGCACUUUCAAGUACCUGGGCAGCACCAUCGCCAACGACGGGUCCCUAGACCACGAGAUCAAUGCCAGGAUCCAAAAGGCCAGCCAGGCACUCGGGCGGCUGCGCUGCAAAGUCCUCCAACACAGCGGUGUAAGCACUGCGACGAAGCUCAAAGUGUACAACGCAGGGGUCCUCAGCUCGCUCCUGUACGGUUGUGAGACAUGGACACUGUACCGGAAGCACAUGAAACAGCUGGAGCAAUUCCACCAACGCUCCCUCCGGUCAAUCAUGAGGAUCCAAUGGCAGGACCGAAUCACCAACCAGGAAGUCCUCGACAGAGCCAACUCCACCAGCAUCGAAGUCCUGGUCCUCAAAGCCCAGCUACGAUGGUCUGGACACGUCAUCCGCAUGGACCCACAGCGAAUACCAAGACAGGUAUUCUGUGGUGAACUGUCAGCUGGACUCAGGAAACAAGGCCGACCAAAGAAAAGAUUCAAGGAUCAGCUAAAGUCCAACUUGCAGUGGGCUGGCAUGACACCAAAGCAACUAGAACUCGCUGCCUCUGACAGAAGCAGCUGGCGAACCCACAUCACCACGCCGCCACCACCUUUGAAGAUGAGUGACGUCGACACAUCUUGCCGCUGCACGUGAACGCCGACACCAGGCCACAACCGCACCUCCCGUAACAACUGGCGUCCCAGGCCCCAUGUGCCACAAACUGUGCGCCUCAG